rnacentral:lncRNA from 10 species
AUGCCUGGCUAAUUUUUGUAUUUUCAGUAGAUACAGGAUUUUGCCAUGUUGUCCAGGCUGGACUCAAACUCCUGAGCUCAAGUGAUCCACCCACUUUGGCCUCCCAAAGUGCUAGGAUUACAGGUAUGAGCCAUGGCGCCUGGCCGAGCUUGGCAGUUUUUUAUAAAGCUAAACAUGCAACCACCAUACAACCAACCAAUUACACUCUUGGGCAUUUAUCCCAGAGAAAUGAAAACAUAUUAACAAAAAACCCACACAUGAAUGCUCAUAGCAUCCUUGGUCAUAAUAGCUAAAAACUGGAAACAAAUCAGAUGUCCUUCAAUGGGUGAAUGGUUAACAAAUUUUGGUACAUCUGCACCAUGGAAUACUACUCAGCAAUAAAAAAGGAACAAACUACUGAUACACAUGACAACCUGAAUGAAUCUCCAGGGGAUUAUGUUGAGUGAAAAAAAGGUAACUCUACAAUAUUACAAACUGUAUGAUUCCAUUUAUAGUCCAUUCUCAAAAUGACAAAAAUCGUAGACGUGGAGAACAGAUUAGUGAUUGCCAGAGGUUAAGGAGUGGGUGUGAGUGAGAGGGAAGUGAUCAUGGAAAUGAUCAGUAUCUUGACUGUAUCAAUACCAAUAUCCUAGUUAUGAUAUCAUACCAUAGUCUUACAAGAUGUUAUUGUUGAGGGAAACAGGUUUAAGGGUAAAGAGAUCUGUAUUAGUACUUACAACUACAUGUGAAUAAAAAGACAACUGAUGAAAUGGGAGAAAAUAUUUACAACAGACCAAGGGCUAAAGAACUCUUAAAACUUAAGGAAAAAAAAACAAUGAUCAUCUCAACUGAUGCAGAAAAAGUAUUUGAUAAACUCCAACCCCCUUUCAUGAUAAAAAAUUUUUACUAAUUAGAAAUAGAAGAGAGCUUCUUCAACAUGAUAAAAGCCACCGUGUCCGGCCUGGAUGUCCACUUUUAACACUUUUACUCAACACUGUCCUGGAAGUUCUGGCCAGAGUAAUUAGGUAAGGAAAAUAAAUAAAAGGCAUAUAGAUCAGAAAGGAAGAAGUAAGAAUAUCUCUUAAAAGAUGACGUGAUCUUUUAUGAAAAAGUCCUAAAGAAUCCACAAAAAACUAGUAGAGUUAAUAAAUGAACUCGGCAAAGUUUUCGGAUAUAAGAUCAAUAGGCAAAAAUGAAUUGUAUCGCUAUAAUAUAUGCUAGCAAUGAACAAUUCCAAAAGGAAAUUACAAAAACAAUUACAUUUAUAAUAGCAGCAAAAAGAAUAAAAUACUUGGGAAUAAAUCUAAUUGAGGAAAUACAAGAGUUGUAUACCAAAAAUUAAAAAACAUGCUAAAAGAAAUAAAGAAGACAUAAAUAAUGGAAAGACAUUCAUGUACAUGGAUUGAAAGACUUAGUAUUGUUAAGAUGGCAGUAAUCCCCAAAGUAAUCUAUAAACGCAAUGCAAUCCCUAUGACAGUCCCAAUGGUCUUUUAUGAAGAAAUGGAAAUGCUGAUCCUAAAAUCCACAUGGAAUUGCAAGGGGUCCUAAAUAGCUAAAACAAUCUUGAAAAAGAGCACUCCUCUACAGAAACAGGCAGAUCUGCUAGGCAGAAUAUCAGUAAGGAUGUAGUUGAAUUCAACAGCACUGCCAGUUAACAGAAUACAGUUGACAUCU